UACGGGGGGGCAAGCGUUGUUCGGAAUUACUGGGCGUAAAGGGCUCGUAGGCGGCUUGUCGCGUCGUCUGUGAAAUCCCGCGGCUCAACCGCGGGUCUGCAGUCGAUACGGGCAGGCUAGAGUUCGGUAGGGGAGAGUGGAAUUCCUGGUGUAGCGGUGGAAUGCGCAGAUAUCAGGAGGAACACCAAUGGCGAAGGCAGCUCUCUGGUACAUGAUUGACGCUGAGACGCGAAAGCGUGGGGAGCGAACAGG
rnacentral:rRNA from 1 species